rnacentral:rRNA from 1 species
GACGAACGCUGGCGGCGUGCUUAACACAUGCAAGUCGAACGGUAAGGCCCUGCUUUUGUGCUGUGCUCGAGUGGCAAACGGGUGUGUAACCCGUCAGUAACCUAACGCUUACUUUGGCUUAACUUCACGAAACUGUGGCUACGACCGGACAGGAUCUCUUCCUUCAUACUUUGCGUUGGAAAGUUUCGGUGGUUGGGGAUGUACUCGCGUCGUAUCUGCUUGUUGGUCGGGUAGUGGCUUACCAAGGCUUAGACGGGUCGCCGGCCUGAGUGGGUGACCGGCCAGAUUGGGACUGAGAUACGGCACAGACUCCUACGGGAGGCAGAAGUGGAGAAUAUUGCACAAUGGGCGGAAGCCUGAUGCAGUAACGCCGCGUGCGGGAUGACGGCCUUGGGGUUGUAAACCGCUUUCGCCUGUGACGAGGCGUGAGGGACGGUAAUGGAUAAAGAAGCACCGGCUAACUACGUG